GACGAACGCUGGCGGCGUGCUUAACACAUGCAAGUCGAACGGAAAGGCCCUGCUUUUGUGGGGUGCUCGAGUGGCGAACGGGUGUGUAACACGUGAGUAACCUGCCCUUGACUUUGGGAUAACUUCAGGAAACUGGGGCUACUACCGGAUAGGAGCUCCUGCUGCAUGGUGGGGGUUGGAAAGUUUCGGCGGUUGGGGAUGGACUCGCGGCUUAUCAGCUUGUUGGUUGGGUAGUGGCUUACCAAGGCUUUGACGGGUAGCCGGCCUGAGAGGGUGACCGGCCACAUUGGGCCUGAGGUACGGCCCAGACUCCAACGGGAGGCAGCAGUGGGGAAUAUUGCACAAUGGGCGGAAGCGUGAUGCGGCAACGCCGCGUGCGGGAUGACGGCCUUCGGGGUGUAAACCGCUGUCGCCUGUGACGAAGCGUGAGUGACGGUAAUGGGUAAAGAAGCACCGGCUAACUACGUG
rnacentral:rRNA from 1 species